GUGGGGAAUAUUGGGCAAUGGGGGCAACCCUGACCCAGCGACGCCGCGUGGGGGAAGACGGCCUUCGGGUUGUAAACCUCUUUUGUACGGGAAGAAGGAAGUGACGGUACUGUACGAAUAAGUCCCGGCUAACUACGUGCCAGCAGCCGCGGUAAUACGUAGGGGACGAGCGUUGUCCGGAAUUACUGGGCGGAAAGGGCGCGCAGGCUGUGCUGCAAGUCAGCUGUUAAAUGUCUGGGCUUAACCCGGGCAUGCGGUUGAGACUGCGGUGCUGGAGUGCUGUAGAGGCAAGUGGAAUUCCCAGUGUAGCGGUGAAAUGCGUAGAUAUUGGGAAGAACACCGGUGGCGAAGGCGGCUUGCUGGGCAGCAACUGACGCUGAGGCGCGAAAGCCAGGGGAGCAAACGGGAUUAGAAACCCGUGUAGUCC
rnacentral:rRNA from 1 species